rnacentral:rRNA from 1 species
UACGUAGGGGGCAAGCGUUGUCCGGAUUUAUUGGGCGUAAAGAGCGUGUAGGCGGCUUGGUAGGUCCGCUGUGAAAACUCGAGGCUCAACCUCGAGAUGUCGGCGGAAACCACUUGGCUAGAGUCCGGAAGAGGAGAGUGGAAUUCCUGGUGUAGCGGUGAAAUGCGCAGAUAUCAGGAGGAACACCGAUGGCGAAGGCAGGUCUCUGGGCCACUACUGACGCUGAGAAGCGAAAGCAUGGGGAGCGAACAGG